AUAUCAAUAAGCGGAGGAAAAGAAACCAACAGGGAUUGCCCCAGUAACGGCGAGUGAAGCGGCAACAGCUCAAAUUUGAAAUCUGGCCCCAGGCCCGAGUUGUAAUUUGCAGAGGAUGCUUCGGGCGCGGUGCCUUCCAAGUCCCCUGGAACGGGGCGCCAAGGAGGGUGAGAGCCCCGUAUGGUCGGACACCAAGCCUAUGUGAAGCUCCUUCGACGAGUCGAGUAGUUUGGGAAUGCUGCUCUAAAUGGGAGGUAGACCCCUUCUAAAGCUAAAUACCGGCUAGAGACCGAUAGCGCACAAGUAGAGUGAUCGAAAGAUGAAAAGAACUUUGAAAAGAGGGUUAAACAGCACGUGAAAUUGUUAAAAGGGAAGCGCUUGUGACCAGACUUGCGCCGGGGCGAUCAUCUGGCGUUCUCGCCGGUGCACUCGCCCCGGCCCAGGCCAGCGUCGGUUCGGGAGGGGGGACAAGGACGCUGGGGAUGUGGCUCCCUCGGGAGUGUUAUAGCCCAGCGUGUCAUGCCCCCGCCCGGACCGAGGUUCGCGCUCUGCAAGGACGCUGGCGUAAUGGUCAUCAGCGGCCCGUCUUGAAACACGGACCAAGGAGUCGAGGUUCUGCGCGAGUGUUUGGGUGCCAAACCCGCACGCGUAAUGAAAGUGAACGUAGGUGGGAGCCUCGGCGCACCACCGACCGAUCCUGAUGUUUUCGGAUGGAUUUGAGUACGAGCGUUGGGCCUCGGACCCGAAAGAUGGUGAACUAUGCUUGGAUAGGGUGAAGCCAGAGGAAACUCUGGUGGAGGCUCGCAGCGGUUCUGACGUGCAAAUCGAUCGUCAAAUCUGAGCAUGGGGGCGAAAGACUAAUCGAACCAUCUAGUAGCUGGUUACCGCCGAAGUUUCCCUCAGGAUAGCAGUGUUGUUUUCAGUUUUAUGAGGUAAAGCGAAUGAUUAGGGACUCGGGGGCGCUAUUUAGCCUUCAUCCAUUCUCAAACUUUAAAUAUGUAAGAAGCCCUUGUUGCUUAAUUGAACGUGGGCAUUCGAAUGUAUCAACACUAGUG
rnacentral:rRNA from 1 species